rnacentral:rRNA from 1 species
GUGGGGAAUUUUGGACAAUGGGCGAAAGCCUGAUCCAGCAAUGCCGCGUGCAGGAUGAAGGCCCUCGGGUUGUAAACUGCUUUUGUACGGAACGAAAAGCCUGGGGCUAAUAUCCCCGGGUCAUGACGGUACCGUAAGAAUAAGCACCGGCUAACUACGUGCCAGCAGCCGCGGUAAUACGUAGGGUGCAAGCGUUAAUCGGAAUUACUGGGCGUAAAGCGUGCGCAGGCGGUUUUGUAAGACAGAGGUGAAAUCCCCGGGCUCAACCUGGGAACUGCCUUUGUGACUGCAAGGCUAGAGUACGGCAGAGGGGGAUGGAAUUCCGCGUGUAGCAGUGAAAUGCGUAGAUAUGCGGAGGAACACCGAUGGCGAAGGCAAUCCCCUGGGCCUGUACUGACGCUCAUGCACGAAAGCGUGGGGAGCAAACAGGAUUAGAAACCCCGGUAGUCC